ACAUAUCUGACGCAUUUCAGCCACCUCUGCCUCCAGCUCUUCAGCACGGGCAUGACAGGAGUCUCUGUCGCUAAGGAUCUGCUCCAGUUCUGCAUUUUCCCUUAGCACUAGAUUGUACUCCUCUUCCAAGUUCUCUCUUUUUUUGCGUUCUAGGCUGAACUGCGUUUCCAAAAGAGCCAAGGUCUUUCUGAGGUUCUCGUUUUCCUCCUCUAUGGGACCAGGUUGCACAUGUAAGGAUGUGAUCUUCUCCGCAAAGACAUGAUCAUAAACAAAAUACCUACAGAUACAAGAAAAUAAUUUAUUGCACCUGGAAAACGCAAAAUUUUUACCUGUUCACAUAUUACAUAGUCUUGGACAGACGUAACUAAGUUACUCUGCAGUACCCAUAUCUAGCCAGUGCUGUAACUAGGCCUAUGUGAGAGAAGCAGUAACCUAAGGCGAGUUCUCAACACAAGAAAGACCUGAAGCAUUGCCAUGGUAUGACAUUUAAGCUUUCUCAUCUGUAAGGACAAAGAAACACGGACCAUGGGCCAGGUUUAUCUUGCAAAUUAAUGGGAUUAAUAAGCAGUCGUGUAAUUGUUAUGCAGAAUGUCUUCCGACAUAUUUGGUGACAUCAGAUCCAUGACACUUCCUCAAUUGCACAUUUUAGUGAUGCAACACCCAAAAAAUACCAGAAGAGAUGUAUACAAACACAAAGAAUACUAAAUGUGGCCCGAAGACAGCCAACUGACUGAUCUUCACGGCCACAUAAAGGAAGAUUGUACAGUGGUGAAUAGCUAGAGAAAGGAAGCCGUUUGUACUUCAAUUUCCUGGAUCUGCUCCUGGUUGGUGCUAUACAUCUGCUGCAAUGACUCUUCCAGUUCAGUGUUACGGUCCAGCAAGGUCUUGCCCAGCUCAGCAGCAAGCUGCAGAUCUAGAGAUGGAAAAGAACAGAUAUGUUACUAGAGAUACAUAAGGAUAUAAAAAAAAUAAUAUAGUAGGUAUAUAAGUAUAAAGUUGUUUAAUGUCAUCACUAUGAAACGCAAAAUAAAAACCUAUGUGAAGGAACAGA